rnacentral:lncRNA from 1 species
UUCUUAUAAGCCUCCUGGGAAUUUUCCAUUUAUUACUGAAAUAUUUGAUGUGCCUCUUUAUCAUUUUUAUAAGGUGAUAGAAGUAUUCAUUAGAGCAGAAGAUGGCCUUUGUAGAGAGGUGGUAAAACACCUUAAUCAGAUUGAAGAACAGAUCUUAGAUCAUUUGGCAUGGAAACCAGAGUCUCCACUCUGGGAAAAAAUUAGAGACAAUGAAAACAGAGUUCCUACAUGUGAAGAGGUUUGUGAAAAUAACAUCUUUUUAUGAGAAAAAUACAUCAAUAUCUAAUCUAUUAAUAAUCCUUUUGGGGAUGGGAGGGUGGCAAUUAGGUUUAAUAUGUUAUAAUUACACCUUGUUAUGAGAAAAAUCUUGGACUGUAACGUCCCUCUCUACCCACAAAUUGGGAAGGUGCCAAGAGACCAAAGAAUGACUCAGACAAGUCCAGCUUGGUAAGUAGAUAACGUUUAUUAAGACUUACAUAUGGAGGAGGCAGAGGUGGUGGGGAAAAAUAAAAGACUUAUAUACAGGGUACUCCUAGGUAGCAGCAGGACAGCUCUAGAGAUCCUCGCCACCUCCCAUCGCUAAGCUGCUUUUAAGCUAAUUUUCUGGCUCUUUGCCUACUAUGUGUGUGCACGAUGGGACUGUUUUCCUUGGUAGUUUCUCAGAUCUUCUCUGGGAUGUUGGGGUUCUCAGGGACACCUGUUCCUUGGCUGGGCACCAUGGCCUUGGCUCACUGCCUAGCCUUCA